rnacentral:rRNA from 1 species
CACCUGUUUAUCAAAAACAUGGUUUUAUGAUUAUAUUUUAAGAUUAUUCUGCUCAAUGAUUAUAUAUAACAUUAAAUAGCCGCAGUAUUUUGACUGUGCAAAGGUAGCAUAAUCAAUUGUCUUUUAAUUAAAGACUAGAAUGAAGGAAUGGAUGAAAUUUUAACUGUCUUUAUAAAAAAAUUAGAAUUUAAAUUUUAAGUUAAAAUGCUUAAAUGGAAUUAUGGGACGAGAAGACCCUAUAGAAUUUUAUAUAAAUUUUAAAUUAUAUAAGAAUAAGUAAUUAAAAUUAAAUUUAAAAUUAUAUUUUAUUGGGAGGAUAAUUAAAUUAAGUUAACUUUAUUUAUUAAUUGAAAUUAUUAAUUUUUAAUUUUUUAAUAUGUUUAAAUAAUGUAAAGAUUAUGUAUUUUAUUUAUUUUAAUAUUUAUUAUUAAUUAUUAAUUAAUAAUUUAUUAAAACAUUAAUUAUUGAAAAAAUGAAUAAAUUUUAUUAAAUUUAUGUAAGAAUUAAUUACCUUAGGGAUAACAGCGUUAUAUUUUUUAAAAGAUCAUAUUGAGAAAAAUGUUUGCGACCUCGAUGUUGAAUUAAAAUAAAAAUUAAAUGAAGAAGUUUAAUAUUUUAGUCUGUUCGACUAUUAAAAUUUUACAUGAUUUGAGUUCAAAUCGACG